AAAAAGAAAGAAAGCACUUGUAUGACAUAAGGAUGACAUGCACUCACCACUCAGAGAUACAGUGAUGAGGACAGCAUUUGAACCCACUUCUCCAGAGAUCAGAGGUGGUGGUUCUUACUACUGCUCCAUAUUCUUUUUUUUUUUUUUUCAGUAUUGUCAAAGGACCAGAUUGCUAUUUAAUCUGCUCCAAUGUUAUACUAGUCUUACACUGGAUCAUGACAGGAGGGAGUGGAACCCAAUGAAGUCUUCUCAUGCCGCAGCUUAUUCAAUUCAAAGUCCAUCAUAGAGAAGCCAUUCCACACACAACUAUUAUAAUGAGUUGUUAUACAUCCAGAAGGGAAGACCAAUUAAAGCGCCCCCUACUUCUGGUACCAAACCACACCCUUCUGCCAACCUCACUUCCACCCAUAUCCUGCCUCUUCCUGCCGAGCAUGUAUAAAGCCCAAGACCUCCACUCACCAAAUCAGUCUUGUUACGGACUCAUGUCUUUUUGACUACUAAUUAGAAAUUGCAUUCUGUGAUAAUAUACAGGCUGGAUACCCCAAACCUUAUUUUUUGUUCUUUUACACCCCCUAUGACUGGGAGUGGGUACAUAAAUGUGCCAGUGAUGGGUUUAACCCUGUUUAUUAAAGUUGGCUCUUGCUUUUCACCUGAUACUGCUGGGACAGGCACUGGCCCCAGUGACUGUGAAUUGGAUUAAGUGGAUUUCAUAAUGAAUGGAUUAUUAUGUUGGUAAUUUAUGUAAAUUGCAAACCUGACAUGGCCACUAAAGACUUAAAGCUAAUGGACACACCAUAAAUAGGUGUUAUGGGCCAAAGGAGUUUAUUGUAGUUGUAUUAAUGAAAAUUAAUAAAGAGCUGAAGCAAUUGUUUUCUUUUACUGUGGGAGUAAAAAUUUUGGAAGAAAAAAUAUGACCCUGAAGGCUAAAGUGUGUGGCACAACUCAACAGUAAUUUGAUGUUUGGACUCAGUUUCACAAUACGUGCCUUCUAUUGUGUACAAGGAGAUGGUUGAAUUUGUCUAAAUUAAAUGGGUGUUCACUUUUUUCUCGCUGAGCAGCUGAAAUACUGUAUAUAUGCUAUUGAGAAUUUCAUAAUUAGCAGGUGUAUGUUUAUAAUAAAAUGGCAAGUUAAAUUUUAUGUACACUUCUCUGUAAUUUUCAUUUCUUCCAGCAGCAAAUGCUGUUUUGUUCAGUGAAGAAUCUGAACCUCUUUUUUUUUCUAAAGAAUGACAUUUGGGAAUAAUGAAACACAUUGCAUAUUCAUUAGCUGAAAACUCUGUAAAAUGCAACACUGCCACUUUGCACAAUUUGCGCAAAAUAAAUAACUAGCCAUAAAGCACAUUUGCCCUGUAUUGUAUUAAACAUUAAUUUUUGACAUUACAGCAUAAAAAUAUUGUAUUAUAUGUAGUUACAUGCAAUGUUGUGCUGAGACAUAAUAAGAAAUAUAAAAAUACUGAAUAAUUUUCCCUAAUUUUUUUUUUUUGCAG